rnacentral:rRNA from 1 species
UACGGAGGGGGCUAGCGUUGUUCGGAAUUAUUGGGCGUAAAGGGCGCGUAGGCGGCAGGAUAAGUCUGACGUGAAAUCCCUCGGCCUAACCGAGGAACUGCGUCUGAAACUGUCCAGCUCGAGUCCGGGAGAGGGUAGUGGAAUUCCCUGUGUAGCGGUGAAAUGCGUAGAGAUGGGGGAGAACACUCGUGGCGAAGGCGGCCAGCUAGACCAGUUCUGACACUGAGGCGCGACAGCGUGGGGAGCAAACAGG